UACGAAGGGUGCAAGCGUUACUCGGAAUUACUGGGCGUAAAGCGUGCGUAGGCGGUUCGUUAAGUCCGUUGUGAAAGCCCUGGGCUCAACCUGGGAAUGGCAGUGGAUACUGGCGAGCUAGAGUGUGAUAGAGGAUGGUGGAAUUCCCGGUGUAGCGGUGGAAUGCGUAGAGAUCGGGAAGAACAUCGGUGGCGAAGGCGGUCUGCUGGGCCGUUGCUGACGCUGAGGCGCGACAGCGUGGGGAGCAAACAGG
rnacentral:rRNA from 1 species